rnacentral:tRNA from 1 species
UGGUGAGUUUUCAGUGUUUGGUCCAAUCUGCUUUGGGAGCAGGAGGUCGCAUGUUCGAAUCAUGUCGCCCCGA